CGGACUCGACGCAGAAGAUGCACGCGACGAGGGCAGCGAAGGUCUCGUCGGUGAACUUGGUGAAGAAGCGGACGAGGUUGGAGGAGGAGGUGACCGCGACGAUCAUGAGGAGGAUGGAGGUCCAGAUACCGAUCCACGCGUAGGUACCGAAGAAGGGGAGGCCGUACUGGGCGCAGGUGGUGUAGAGGAUCGCGGUGUAGGUCACGACGGAACCGGUGGACGCGAGGAUGGACAUGGGCUGACCGCACAGCACCGCGUACAGGACACCACCGAUGGCGGUCGCGAGGAUCACCUCGGUCGCGCCGAGCAUGCCGGCGGUGGCGGAGGUGAGCACGGCGCCGAAGGCGACGGCGGGCGCGAGGGCCGCG
rnacentral:lncRNA from 1 species